UCCCCGUUACCGGGGCAGUCUGAUUAGAAAAAUCCAACUAAUCAUAGGGGUUGCGCUCGUUGAUGGACUUAACCAAACAUCUCACGACACGAGCUGACGACGGCCAUGCAGCACCUGUCACUUGGUUCCCGAAGGCACUCUCGGCUUUCGCCAAAAUUCCAAGGAUGUCAAACCCUGGUAAGGUUCUUCGCUUAGCAUCGAAUUAAACCACAUGCUCCACCGCUUGUGCGGGCCCCCGUCAAUUCCUUUGAGUUUCAGCCUUGCGGCCGUACUCCCCAGGCGGGGCACUUAUCGCGUUAGCUGCGGCACCGAAGGGGUCGUUCCCCCCGGCACCUAGUGCCCAUCGUUUACGGCGUGGACUAC
rnacentral:misc_RNA from 1 species